GAGACUUCCUGUCUUUACUAACUCCUUGCUGUUGUAGAGCAAGAGUCUAGGUUACAUCGUCCACGUUAGUCUACCGCGGUUUUUAUACGUUUAUAUGAUUUUCUGUUCUUCCAUGGCGUUAAGUGAAGCAUACGACCCGGCGUGAAAAGCUAUGGUUUUGAUUCGAACUUUAAAUAAGAAACUACGUGGAGUUGUUGCAUGGGCUAGCUUGUUAGCUCCAAGCUACAACGCGACCAGCACGUGGUCGGUAUGACUUCCGGCUAAAGUUCUGUUUAAAGGUUCCCGCUCCAGAUGGUCCCAUGUGUGCCUGAGGGGGGUGUUGCUGAGAUGGAGGAUGUGCCUGCAUGGGAGGAUGUGGCCAGGUGGCAUUCCUAAGCUGGGCGGCGCAACCUGAAGAUCCAAGUUCAGAUGGGAAACAAAAUAAAGUUUGUUGAUUCA